AUGGAAAACUUGCAUGUGUGCGUGUUUUUCAGAGAGAUUAUGUCGCUUUUACAUUUACAUUUUACAUUUGAGUCAUUUAGCAGACGCUCUUAUCCAGAGCGACUUACAGUAGUGAAUUCAUACAUUUCGUACAUUUUUUUUCUCCGUACUGGUCCCCCGUGGGAAUUUAACCCACAACCCUGGCGUUGCAAACACCAUGCUCUACCAACUGAGCCACAUGGGACCGCACGGGGCGCUUUUGUCCCCGUACGUUACUAUCCACGGAGGCUCCUCCGUUGCCUGCCCUCUCAAUCUCAAGAACAACAGGUCUCAUUUGGUCCGAUGUCCAUGUCGAGCAAAUGUAGCGGUAUGUGGAUGGAGCUGGAAAUCAUUUUAUUGAUGUGUAUGGUUGGCAGACUUCCCAUUCCUUUUCAGGAGAAAGCUUGAGCCAUGCUCACUCACUCAUUGCAACAAUCAGAAGUGACCUUCGAGGUGACAAACAAGGGUGACUGCGAUGGAUUGUUCACAUAUUUGCUUACGUAACCAAGUCAUGUACUUCGAAGAUGAAUUACCCUGCAAAUCAGUUAAGACAAGUGUCGUGGAUAUUAAUUUAAGUUUGAUUCAUAUAUUUCUAAGCUCGGUGAAUUAUUAGAUGGGUUCACAGCGAAGGCGACAAUGUGUACCAGAAUACAUAAAGGAAUGUGUAAUUAUGAGAUACAAAAUAAAUGGAUUGUAUAAGUGAAUCUUGUCUGAUUUAAUGUGGGUCCUUUUUUUGAUCAACAAAACCAUGAACAAUAUUAUCUUCACAUGUGGAAUGUGACAUCCAGCCACAUCCUCACAAAAACUUUUUCGUAAAAGGCCUUCUAAAUCUGGUAGAAAAACACUCAUUUCCAGCCACUUUGUAUGAAUGUUAGUCUAUACUGUAGUAUACAGCC
rnacentral:lncRNA from 8 species